ensembl:misc_RNA 7SK 7SK RNA
GGAUGUGAGGGUGAUCUAGCUGUGACAUCUGUCACCCCAUUGAUCGCCAGGGUUGAUAUGGCUGAUCUGGCUGGCCAGGCAGGUGUUCCUUUCCUCUUUCACUGCUCCAUGUGUGUGUCUUCUGAAGCUGAGAGCUCAGUCAAAGAAGACAACCACCCGCAGGAGAGGAGGACUGUUUCCUUGGUCAAGUGUAUAAGAGUAGCUGCGCUCCGCUGCUAGAACCUCCAAACAAGCGCUCUAGGUCCACAUUCCAGUGCUUAUGAAAAUUCAUGGAAUUAAUUUUUCUCCAAAGUAGUCGAUUCUAGUUGGAGAAGAAAAAUGAUCAGAAUU